CUGGGCGAGGCGCUUGCUGAGAGCAUCAGCGCGUGG
rnacentral:sRNA from 1 species